GAUAAGGGGUUGGGUUACAAUGCAAAGCUCAGGAUGGGUUUGCUCAUUUUUUCACAGCUGUGGAAUUUUAUUCUUCCUGAUAUCAGUGUUAUCAGAUGUUGUUAUCAUGGGCUGGAGCUUCUGUAUCGACGUCUCUGAUGAACUGAUUUGCUGCCAGUUUCAGAGCCUGAUCCUCUCAUCUUCUGUAAGAGGUUUGUGCUGUGAGGCUCUAGUGUGACAAUGGCCUUUCUGAAAGCUUGCUGUCACUGAUGGGGUCAUCAGGGAGCCUGAGAAGGGAACAACAUUUUUUAUAUGAAAGCAAAGGUCUCAACCCAGUAAGGAUAUUGAACACAGCCAUUCUGCAGGUUUGGCUGUUAAGAGAUCCAGCCUGGCACCUCUUGCCCCUGGGAGCAGGAGGGGCUUUAAGCAACGCUGGGAAAUCCAAAGAGCAAUCUUUCCUGGUGAGUGUACUUAGAGAAACGAGCAAUAAACGCCCAGCGCUGUGGUCUGCUGUCUGACUCAGCUGAGAGGGGAGGAGGUGUUUGCUUUGGCAGAGGAUACUUUCCAGCCUCAGGAGGUUCCUUAGGCCAGGAUCUUUGGACUCAGAUGGGUUUCUGGUGCAAAAAUGCUUCCUCAGCCUUUUUCCCAGCUGUUUACAGAAAUUAUGAGAUUGCAGACACGACCAGUAACAUCUGAGUGAGGCAGGGAGAGAACAGGACACGGAGAGCUUUAUAACAACACAUUCCUUACCACACAAAGUGAUUUAAAAAUCCAUUUGCAAGCCUGUUUAGCUUUCCUAAUAGGCUGCUGAUGCAUGUUGGAGGCAAAACACAAGACUUUUCUUUCAGAGACGGGGUAAUAGCCCAAUGAUGGUGAGGGAAAUUUAUUCAGGUUAAAUGCAGUUCCUGCUUCUUUGCAACUUUGUCCUAUUUUGAAGCAUCUCCAGUGCAGGCAGCAAUAGCUCAGCAGAACUGAACUCUCAAAGGUAAUGGUUGUUGCAUGGGAGUCUUGACUAUCCAGGGUGUUCAGUGGGCUUGAUUGAUCAGGGCAAUGCAAAAAGGUGAGGCCACAAGCACAAGAAUUUUAUAGCACCCAUAAAGUACUGUACACAGGCUUUGCUCAAUUUUAUGCUGUUAAACGAAGCAUUUGGUAUCAUAUGGCACUUUAAGGGCUUUGAUUUAUGUUAAGGCAGAAACUGCAGCUGUAAUAAACAUUCUAAAGGAUGAGUUUAAGAGCAAUGUGCUGUAUUUAUUUGUGACAUAAACACUCACCUGCAAUGCAUUUGAGAAUCAUCUCACAGGGCACAUUACAGCCAUUAAGCUUCAGGCACAGCAAGGUCACAUCCAAGGAGAAGAUGGAAGUGGCUGGGAAGAAAGGGGUGGCAGAGCAAAUAUUUUGAAAGAGCAAAUGGAAAAAUAUUCUUUUUCUCCUGAUAAAUGGUCCCCAAACGUGACUAUAAUUUCUGAAAGAGUCUCACAUUGUCCUGAACAAGGUAAAGUUCGAAUCCAGUCUUGUUUAAUAUGAAAUAUUUAAGCACACGGCCAUGAAAAUAAC